CCAGAACCAGCCCGGUCUCUCCCCCAUCCCCCGCCCCAAAAAAAACAAUCGCGGCAGAGCCUACUCGUGUGACUACUCCUACCAAUCUGCCCAGCAGAGCCGGCGCGGGGGGAACACGCUCGCUCGCUCGCGCCGCGUUGCAUGCGCCGGGCAGCCGCCGCCGCCACCACCAGGAUCAGGAUCGGGAUGGCGGCGGAGGAGGUCAGGCAGGCGUCCGCGGCCGCCACGGCGGCCGAGGCCGCGUCCGCGUCGGUGCCGGCCCCCGCGGGCUCCCGGUGGGCGCGGGUCUGGCCCUCCGCGCUGCGCUGGAUCCCCACCUCCACGGAACGCAUCAUCGCCGCAGAGAAGCGACUCCUCUCCAUCCUCAAAACUGGGUAUGUCCAAGAACAAGUUAACAUUGGCUCUGCUCCACCUGGGUCAAAAGUAAAAUGGUUUAGAUCAUCAAGUGAUGAGCCAAGGUUCAUCAAUACAGUGACAUUUGAUAGCAAGGAGAAUGCUCCCACCCUUGUCAUGGUCCAUGGUUAUGGUGCGUCACAGGGGUUCUUCUUUAGAAACUUUGAUGCCCUUGCAAGCCGUUUCCGGGUGAUUGCCAUUGACCAGCUUGGUUGGGGUGGAUCAAGCAGACCUGACUUUGACUGUAGAAGUACUGAAGAAACCGAGGCUUGGUUCAUAGAUUCUUUUGAGGAAUGGCGCAAAGCAAAAAACCUCAGUAAUUUUAUAUUGCUUGGUCAUUCUUUCGGAGGAUAUGUUGCGGCAAAGUAUGCCUUACAGCAUCCUGAACAUGUUCAGCACUUGAUUUUGGUUGGUUCUGCUGGCUUUUCGUCAGAAACAGAUCAUAGUUCUGAGUGGUUAACCAAGUUCCGUGCAACGUGGAAAGGCAUGCUAGUAAACCAUCUUUGGGAGUCCAAUUUCACUCCUCAGAGAAUUGUGAGAGGAUUAGGUCCUUGGGGCCCAGAUUUAGUUCGGAGAUAUACCACUGCUAGGUUUGGCUCACAUUCAACAGGUGAAUUACUAACAGAAAACGAGUCCUCCUUGCUGACAGAUUACAUUUACCACACUUUAGCUGCCAAAGCUAGUGGAGAGCUGUGCUUAAAACAUAUUUUUUCCUUGGGGGCAUUUGCAAGGAAACCACUUCUGCACAGUGCAUCCGACUGGAAAGUGCCAACUACUUUCAUAUAUGGUCAUGACGAUUGGAUGAAUUACCAAGGGGCGCAGCAAGCACGCAAGGACAUGAAAGUUCCUUGCGAAAUCAUCAGUCCCACAGGGAGGACAUUUUGUGUUUAUAGAUAACCCUGUGGGUUUCCACUCGGCGAUCUUCUACGCGUGCCGGAAAUUUUUAUCUGGAGAUGCAGAGGAGGGUCUCUCUCUUCCUGAUGGCUUGAUAUCUGCAUGAGGCGUCAUCUCGUGUGAUCUCAUACCGAAUAGUGGUAUGGGCAUAAAGCAAAGCUAUACGACUAUAGAAAUGUUCAAUGACUGCUGGCGUCGCCAAUUUGUUUUUGUAUGUAUGAAUUCUGUGAAUAUGUCAUUCAUAUGUGCUUGCGUACCAACAACACUAGUGAGACAAUUAUGUUUUUGUUGCGGGUCUAGAUAUAAUUAUGUCAUAUGCGUAAGAUCUCCCUAGUCAGUUUUUAGGUCAAGUUACUGUGAGUGAUGCUCUAUAUUCUUUCAGGGUCAACUUUAUGUUUGCUUGCUA